rnacentral:rRNA from 1 species
GGGAGGGCUUCGGCCCCACCCGUGGCGAACGGCUGAGGAACACGUGCGUCACCUGCCUUCUCGUGGGGAAUACCGGCUGGAAACAGCCGACAAUACCGCGUACGCUUGCGAUGAGCAAGGAAAGCCUUUCGAGGCGCGGGGAGCGGGGCGCGCGGCCCAUCAGGUGGUUGGCGGGGUAACGGCCCACCAAGCCGAUGACGGGUCGCUGGUCUGAGAGGAUGACCAGCCAGACUGGAACUGCGACACGGUCCAGACACCUACGGGUGGCAGCAGCAAGGAAUCUUCCGCAAUGGGCGCAAGCCCGACGGAGCAACGCCGCGUGGAGGACGACGGCCUUCGGGUUGUAAACUCCUUUUCGGUGGGACGAAACGGAC